CGUGAGCGCGGGCGUUGGCUGCUCGGCCGUCCCUCAUAAGGACGGUGUGCCCGGAUCGACACCGGGGCUCACGAC
rnacentral:tRNA from 2 species